UACGUAGGUGGCAAGCGUUGUCCGGAUUCAUUGGGUUUAAAGGGAGCGUAGGCGGCCCUAUAAGUCAGUGGUGAAAUCUCUCGGCUUAACCGAGAAAUUGCCAUUGAUACUGUAGGGCUUGAGUACAGUUGCCGUUGGCGGAAUAUGACAUGUAGUGGUGAAAUACAUAGAGAUGUCAUAGAACACCGAUUGCGAAGGCAGCUAACGAAGCUGUAACUGACGCUGAGGCUCGAAAAGUGCGGGGAUCAAACAGG
rnacentral:rRNA from 1 species